rnacentral:tRNA from 1 species
GGUGGUAGCUCAGCGGUAGAGCGCUUGCCCAGCACGCGUGAAACACUGGGUUCAAUCCCCAGCACCA